rnacentral:lncRNA from 1 species
ACAAAACUGGUGAUUUACUAAAAAGUGAUUUACACACUCUGCCAUCUAUAAAAAUUGUGACAAUCGAAGCUUUGCAUUUGUCCAUAUCAAGAACAGGAGUAUAGAUUCUAAUCGCAGAGAUUUACCUCUUUUACAGGGAUUCUAAUACCAUUUUUUUCCUUAAAUCUAACAGCUCGAUGCCUCGCUCGUACAUAAGAAGGCCAUGUGUGCAUCGCUGGAGCUAUAAUGAACAGUUGGGGCUACUACAUAAGAACAGUUGCGGCACUCACCAACAAAGGUAAAGUUGGAAAUUGUGAAGCGUGCACAACUUACUGCCCUAUGGUUUAAACUUGGUCGAACAACAGUAGGUGCUAACCUGUUACUCGCAGCCGCGGUGGCACAGGUGCCUCCUGCUCUGAUGGCAAACUUUGAAAGAAACAGGCCUCGCCCACCCGCUCCAAUGGCAAACUGGUAGGAUCCCAAACCGAGACCUGGAAGCAUGGAGAAACAGGCCUCGCCCGUCCCGCUCAGAAACGUUUUGAAAAUUGGUUUGUUGUUGUAUAUGGAAGGCGUGAGAUGGACAGAGUAUGAUUGGUCGCUUUAUUUUUGGGCAUUGGAGGUGUAAGAUGGAAAGAACGAAAAGAUUGAUUGGCGUUGUAUAUCUGUUUGCGAUUGCGAUGCGAUUUGAUUCCUGUUGUGAAUGGAAAGUAUUAUUCGAAAAGGAUAAUAUUGUUUGGAAAGGAUGCCAUCGGUUAAUAUUUGAUUCCUGUUGUGUAUGGAAAGUAUUUUUUGGAAAGGUUAUUAUUGUUUGGAAAGGAUGUCAUCGGUUAAUAUUUGAUUCCUGUUGUGUAUGGAAAGUAUUAUUUGGAAAGGUUAUUAUUGUUUGAAAGGGAUGUCAUCG